rnacentral:lncRNA from 1 species
AUGUUCCUGCUUGGAAAUGCUGAUUUUCUCUUUUUCUUUUUUUCUUUCAGUUUGCUGCACAGCGUCGUGUUGUUGGAGACAUUUCUCCUGUCGCCGGGCCGCAACUUUUUUCAGUUGUUUCGAGUUCUGGAGGCACAACGAGUCAGUGUCUGGCCCGAAGUGAUUGGAUACCUGGGGCAUAAUGUCACGCUGCCAUGCCAGUUCAUCCAAGGACCAGAAAAAGGCAUUAUUACUCAGGUUCAGUGGAGUCUCCUGCAACCAGAAGGAAAUAGAUACACCAUUAUCGUUUCUAAUAAAAAGUUUGGGGUUAAUAUUCCAGAAUCUCCACUCAAGGAGAAAGUGGCGAUAAAAGAACAAGCGUUGAUAAUUGAAAAUGUUGAGAUGAAAAAUGCAGGGUUGUACAUGUGCACUCUUGCAACCUUCCCCAGUGGCUCAUUUGACGGAACAACCAGCCUCAUUGUUCAAGAGCAGAUGCCGUUAUCAGCAGGGGUGGUGACUGCUAUAGCGAUUGCUGCUAUACUCGUGGUAGGGAUUAUGACAGCUGGAGCUUACUUCAUCUUCAUCAGAAGGCGUGAUUCCUCGGUCAGACACAGUGUCUUCAUUGACACAGGUCGGACAGUGAUGGAUGUGUCCGGGCCUUCGGUUCUUGAAAGAGACGAGGGUGCGGUCUACUCCGACGUCAAGUUCAGACCAGCCAGAGAUGAGACGUCCUCUGACAAUGACAGACGCACGAAGUCCACAUGUGCUGAUGUCACGUACGCCGAAGUUGUAGUUUUGGGUCAGCAGCCCAAAUGAGGUCCAGAAAAAAAAAAUCACCUUAAAGCUGCUGUAUGUACAAUAAAUUGCAUUCAUCCUAUUUUUGUCAUCAUGCAGUAUAAUAUCAGCAUAUUCUGACAUCUAUGGAUAAAAUGCUCACCUGCAACUCUGUAGGUGCUCUCACAAGUUCUUGUUUUUUUUUCCCCCUUCCAUUGGCCUGUGCCAGACCAAGCUGGGAUGAUUUGUGUUUCCUCCAUAACCUCACAACUGGGGGAUGUACAAGAAAUGUAACAUUUCUCAUAGAAGAAUGUUUUUCAAGAACAAAUGCAGUCCUUGAAAUAACACCACUUUUAGCGUGUUUUCCACUGUGUAUUCCACCACGGCACGACCGCUGCCAUGCUCAUGGCGUAGUCAGCAUGCAGUCAUUUGAUGAUUAGCAAAAAAACAAACUACAACUGAUGUUGUGUCAUCAUAUUGUGUCAUCAUAUUUUAAAGUAUUUGGUCACGUGUAAAAUAACAUUUUGACCUGCGAGAUGAAAACUCUGUUGUAGAAGCAAUAUGCAGUAUCCUCCAUGAAUGUGUGUGUGCGUGUGUGUGUGUGUGUGUGUACCAAAUUGAAUAACCUAUGCCUUUCGUGUUUCAAUAAAGAACUUAAGUCAACACCAUUGCGCCAUUUCACAGCAAUCAAUCUAAAAGUUAUAGAUAGUUCAGUCUGACCCAAAGCGGUGGACCAAUAAACAUUGCCAUUCCCAAAAGUUG